GCUCAUUUCUUCUAUUCUUCUCUCUAUACGUUGGUGUUCUAACCAAUAAUCACCGAUGCGAUAUUAUGUCCGAUCGAUUCGGGAACCAACUAACGAAUGCCAAAGUGCUGUCUAAACAAGACUAUACUUUGUAAAUUUCAUUAAGGUUCUGAAACGAAUGCCAAAGUGUUGUCUAAAUUACAAGACUGUACUUUGUGAAUUUCGUUAAGGUUCUGAUCUCGUGACCAUUGUUAGGUUUGAUUUGGUAUAACACUAACACGUAUUCCACUCUGAUAAACUAAAUGUUUAACUACCCGAAACUCUGCACUGUACACUUACAAUCAAAAUAGAUGCUCAAUCAUCAGAAGAUUCAGAACUAUAAAGUAGAUGCUUGUUUAAUCAAGACUAUAUGCUAACAAGGGAUUAAGUCUUGGUUAUCUUGAAUCACUUGCAAGUGGGGCAUUGUGCACAUUACUAAUUUCUCACGGUUAGGUUCACCAACCUAACAGUGACAAUCAUCACUACUUGAGUGAAAGGACCCAAUAGUGGUAUGACCAUCGUCACCAGGGUGUGACACGACGCCAGAUAAAAUUAACAUAGUAGCCAUUGUUAUCGCUCUUAUGCUAUAAUUUAUAACAAUGUGUCGUUUUGUACAAAAAUAAAUGAACUCACCAGUAUUUCCUGCUGACCAAACCUUUUUAAAACACGUUUCAGGUUAUGACAGUAGAUUGGAAUAAGAGUGAUGAUACGGCACCGAAAGGCUUAAAGAAGUGGCUUAUGUUAUCAAUUGAAUUAAAUUAAGAAAACAUGGUUUUAUAUAUUCAGGUUUAUCCCUUGUUAAAGCUACCAUUGUAAAACAUGGGUUUUAUCCCACCUAUUUAAUAAAUAAAAUCCGGUGUUUUCUAAAACUCUGAUAUUUUUCCUAACUCGCGGUCCUGAUGAAAUUUUCCGCUGCAAUAUUUUCAAAAUAACCACCGGUACCACUUGACUGCUCGCGGCUUCCGUCCAUGGUGUGGUCGGGGGUCGUGACAGAGGUGGUAUCAGAGCUAAGCCACUAGUUUAAGCAAUUAGGUGUUGUAAUAAUACCUAAGCUUAAACGAAAGAGUUAGGAAAUUGUUAUUAACUGGUAGCAACAAGGAUAGUAUUUAGACUUGAACUUAAGAAAGAUUCCUUAGUAUAAGCUUCGAGAUAAGCUAAUUACUUGCGUAGAUAAAAUGUGAUGGGUGUUAGUAUGCCUUGAGGAUGAUGACUAGAACGUUGCAAGUAUGGUAAAUAAGCGAUAACACUUGGCCACUGUUAUUUCUUGUUUAUUAGUACUACUGGGUUCUAGAAUAUGAUCCAUCAUGUGAAUACUAAUUACCUUGUUCUUUGAUAAAAGCUAUAAUAAAAGAUUCAUUUUUAAUCAUGAAUUGAGAAGAUUCUAUUUAUAGGAAAUACAAAUUACCUCUCCAGCGAGAACCGGGUAAGAUGGGGUUACCUCUCCGGCGAGAACCAGGUAAGAUGGGGUAUAUAAUAUGUCAAACAAGUGACAGAAUUCCCUAAUAGUAUCAUGACCUGAUAUCUGGAUUGUUUUUCAAAAUAUGAAUCUUUUAAAUACAUUAACCUUAUGCAAGUUUGUAUAUUAUAAUAUGUGAAAUGUAUGAUUAUAUAGAUAUGUAUAUCUA
rnacentral:lncRNA from 1 species